CAUUGUAAAUGUUUUUACAGUCAUUUCUGAUUAAUUUGAUGCAUCCAAGGUGAAUAAAAGUCUCAAGUUCUUUAAACAAGCAAACAAAAAAUGUCUUAGCAUUUCCUAACCUUUUAACAGUAGUGUAGUUGAAUGAUGGGAUGCAGGGAGUUUAUGCAGAAGCUGCAUUUUAAGAUUAUGGAAUAGAAACCCAUUAGUCUCAAAGUCCAAUGCAGACUAUUCUUCCUGCUCCUCAUACCCCCACUCUCCGUCUGAUCUCAGCAUUCAUCUCUAGCUUGUCUCCCAGUGGCGCAUAUCAAGAAAAUAGAGUAGGAGGGGUUCAAGGCUGAGGUAGAUGGGGAGCAGCAAAGCAGUCUUUAUCUAAAGAUGAGAAGGGUUUAAGCACCAUGGAGUACAUCACAUUUUAUUUUAUUUUCAGAUCUCGAGUUCUUCUUAUGUCAUCUCCAAAAUCCACCACUCAAGGGGCCACAGACUACCAGACCUACCCCCAACAGGGUUUUCCUCUUGAGAUGAUCCUAACUGGUGUUGUCCAGUAUACAUUGCAGUUGGGACUGUUGAUAUCAUCAUUACGAGAAUCGGUUGUUGCAUUUUGCAUAUGAAGUCACAUCAGUCCAUUGAAUGCAUGGUGAGUUUAUGCUGAGAAACUGUGUGAAUAAUUGUGCUACACAUCUUCCUUGGAAACAUAUAGGUAGUCAUUUUCAUGACUGUGUACCAAGUCUCAGUAGCGACCUAGAUGUGUUACGGUUAACUUUGUGCUGCUCUACUAUGCUCUAAUGUGGGAGAUGGCAGAUAAGAACACGUUGGGCCUGAGUAAAAUGCAGCAUGCAGGGCUUUUCCUCGAGACAAAUGAUUAAUGAAAACAACGAAAGAAAAAAUCACCUUGGUCUAAUGACCACAAAGAGCUGCAGAAAAUGACCAAUUAUGAAAGGAAUGUAACAGAGUCCGAAGAAUGUUCACGUGCUAAUCCCUAUUGAUACAUCUAUCUCACUCUCUCUAAACGGUUCAAUGAAAAAGGAAAUAUCAAGAGAGGGGGUGUCUGUAAAAAAAAUAAAAAAUAAUAAAAAUAAUAAUAAUUAAGAAGA
ensembl:lncRNA